UAUGGGCCUCCCAUCUCAUGGGCC
rnacentral:siRNA from 1 species